GGAGAGGUGUCCGAGUCAGGCUGAAGGAGCACGCCUGGAAAGUGUGUGUACGCUAACACGUACCGAGGGUUCGAAUCCCUCCCUCUCCG
rnacentral:tRNA from 1 species